GUACUCUCACUCUCUCUAAUCAUUUAGAUUGGGAGUGGUGGACUUGGGUGUUGCUGCUUCACUGUGGCUUACCUCAAAUGCGUCAGUGCAACUCUCAGUUGGACAUAGUACGGCGUGAUAAGUAUCUUCGCCGGCACCUCGCAAGAGGGUGGCCACUUGGGGGCUCUGUGCUUUCAAACCGUCUUCGGACAAUCUCUGACA
rnacentral:misc_RNA from 1 species